GCCUGCCACCAAAGACGUGACUUUACAGUUAGCGAUUUAGCCGACCUACAUGGUGUGAAGUGAGAGAAUAUCCACCGUUGAAUGUCAGAGCAUGGUAUAAGAGUUUCUGACUUGAAUAAUUCCACUGACAUCGCAACGCUGGAUGCUGGAUGAUUGCAGAGAUCCCAGGAUCUCCUCAAAAUUCUGGGUUCAAAAUGAUGCAAGGACAAAGGUUCAAAACUUCGUGUGCAAGAAUUCAUGCGACGUCUGGAUCCACCGGGAAUUGUCCGCACACUACAACUACAAACUGUUCGGCAUAGAAGAUAUUCUGUGCCUGCCCCCAACAGUCAAAGGCAUAUCUAUGGCAACCAUAAACUCGUAAAUUAAGGCUCUAUGUUGGGGAACUAGGAAGGAAGUACAAAAAUAAAUUAAGACCAUAUUUUUUUCACCCAUUUUGGAAAGGUAAACCCGUAUAUAAUAUAGACCAUUUUAAAUUAAGUUGAAAUAUUUCAUGCUUUUAUUUUUUAUUACACGCUAGGAAUCAAUUUUGAUUGGGAGUGCUUUCGCUGCCAGCCUCUCCCAGUCAAAAUGGAUUGGGUGUCAAGCGCUGUCAAUGGCAGCCAAUGAGUUAAAUGUUGAUGUUUAUGGCUUGCAAAAAAAAAAAAGAAACCCUCAAGUUUAAUGUCUCAAAAAAAAAAAUUUAAAAGAUUUUUUGGGCCGUGCAACACAUCUUCUGUUAUUGCAGAAAUGUUGGUAUAGUUUUAGUUGACACUUCUGGCAGACGAUUGGAUGAAAUUUCACCCAUUGAAAUCAAAUCAUGAGGUUUGGCAUGCCCUCUUUGCUUGUUGGCUCUUUGAAAAUGGUUUAACAAGUGCAACUUCAAAAAGGAUCAUGUAAAGUGCAUGUUUCUCACACAUAACAUUAAAAAUAACCAAUAAAAGCAUGAAAUAUCCCCCGACCCAAAAAUUACUUUGUUCUGGUACUUGAGUAAAAAUGAGCUUAGAUUUUUCUUUUUUUUUUUUUUUUUUUCCCAUCAGAAAAAAAAUGCACGACUGAACGGGUUAAGUCUAAUGUCAAAACUUCAGAACUUCCACUUUAACGUUAUGUGUAAAACGACCUAAAAGUAACAACUGAGUGUCACCCUUUCCAUUUUGCAGUCUUGUCCAUUGUCCUCAACCAUCCCCCCCCCCCCCCCCCCCUUCUUAAUAAAAUUAGAUAAACAAACACUUUCACAGUCUAGGCACAUACAGGUUAAGCUAAUCAAUAAAUUUGCCAUAUAGGAUGUGUGCAUGUUUAGUUAUAUUUCAGGACUAGUUGGUUCAACUUUACAUUACAUAUCUGGAGUUUUAUGUGAUGGUCCACAUGGUCAUCACCCCCAUGUAGGUGUCAGUCCCUGAAGUGCAGCUGCAACAAGACUCGACUCCUGAAAAAAUUCAGCAGAUGUCAGAAUGUUCUAAUUUAUUGAAUGUCUACAGCGAGACUAUCCAUCCUGCAUCAGAUAUUUGGAGUUGUUUGCAAUGACAGCAUAGCAUGUUGGUUGUGGUUGAUGUGACAGUACCUCACCAAUGUGCAGAAAUAAUAAAGGCAAUGAUUAUUUUUCUGCUAAGUAACAUUUUAUUGAUGACCAUUGUAAUACAAUACAAAUAAUAAACAGGCAAUUGAUCUACAAAAAAGGACUUCCAGCACAACUAACUCGUUCAUCAAUGAAAAAAAUAAAAACCCUGUCCGCUGGACACCAACAUGAGCCACUUAAGGUCAGUAACUUUCUCCCCUAAAACUGGCCAGCUGCUCACCAUCAGCAUCCCCUGAAAUGUAAAUUGUCUUCGGGGAGCUUUAGGGUAAAAAACAGGUAGAUGAGUGAGGACGAGAGAUGUCUGUUAUUGUUGAGGAACAACACCCAAACCUUCGUCCGAAGUAUCUAGAAGAAAAUAGAUGACAACACAAGGCAAAAUGGUAUUUAAAAAAAAAAAAAUAGCUACGGAAGCAUUAGACGAGACACCGGGCGGUGCAGUCUACCUGAGCCCUUAAGAGCGUAAACACGAACUUGAAUGUGUAAAUUUCGCUUCACUAAUUUGCACUAACGCUAAACUAUUCCUUGUGGGUUUAAUAUUGUUAGCAAAUUUAUCCGUGUCCCGCCUUGCAUCCCCUUCCUGAGACCCAAAGCGAGGUAUUAGCUUAUUUAAAAAGAUAUAGAUUCAACAUACCUCAACUGGACUUAAGUAAAAAGUUAAAAAAAAAACAAAAAAAAA